CCGGGUUGCGGACAGUGUCUGGUGGGUAGUUUGACUGGGGCGGUCUCCUCCUAAAGAGUAACGGAGGAGCACGAAGGUUGGCUAAUCCUGGUCGGACAUCAGGAGGUUAGUGCAAUGGCAUAAGCCAGCUUGACUGCGAGCGUGACGGCGCGAGCAGGUGCGAAAGCAGGUCAUAGUGAUCCGGUGGUUCUGAAUGGAAGGGCCAUCGCUCAACGGAUAAAAGGUACUCCGGGGAUAACAGGCUGAUACCGCCCAAGAGUUCAUAUCGACGGCGGUGUUUGGCACCUCGAUGUCGGCUCAUCACAUCCUGGGGCUGAAGUAGGUCCCAAGGGUAUGGCUGUUCGCCAUUUAAAGUGGUACGCGAGCUGGGUUUAGAACGUCGUGAGACAGUUCGGUCCCUAUCUGCCGUGGGCGCUGGAGAAUUGAGGGGGGCUGCUCCUAGUACGAGAGGAGCGGAGUGGACGCAUCACUGGUGUUCGGGUUGUCAUGCCAAUGGCACUGCCCGGUAGCUAAAUGCGGAAGAGAUAAGUGCUGAAAGCAUCUAAGCACGAAACUUGCCCCGAGAUGAGUUCUCCCUGACUCCUUGAGAGUCCUGAAGGAACGUUGAAGACGACGACGUUGAUAGGCCGGGUGUGUAAGCGCAGCGAUGCGUUGAGCUAACCGGUACUAAUGAACCGUGAGGCUUAACCUUACAACGCCGAAG
rnacentral:rRNA from 1 species